CCAGACUCCUACGGGAGGCAGCAGUGAGGAAUAUUGGUCAAUGGGCGCGAGCCUGAACCAGCCAAGUCGCGUGAGGGAAGACGGUCCUAUGGAUUGUAAACCUCUUUUGCCGGGGAGCAACGGGGUCCUUGCGAGGGCCCGAUGAGAGUACCCGGAGAAAAAGCAUCGGCUAACUCCGUGCCAGCAGCCGCGGUAAUACGGAGGAUGCGAGCGUUAUCCGGAUUUAUUGGGUUUAAAGGGUGCGUAGGCGGACUGUUAAGUCGGCGGUAAAAGCCCGGGGCCCACCCCCGGCGAGCCGUUGAAACUGGCUGUCUUGAGAUGUCGAGAGGUAUGCGGAAUGCGCAGUGUAGCGGUGAAAUGCUUAGAUAUUGCGCAGAACUCCGAUUGCGAAGGCAGCAUACCGGCGGCGAUCUGACGCUGAGGCACGAAAGCGUGGGUAUCGAACAGGAUUAGAUACCCGGGUAG
rnacentral:rRNA from 1 species